UAAGGAAUAUUGGUCAAUGGGCGGAAGCCUGAACCAGCCAUGCCGCGUGCAGGAUGACUGCCCUAUGGGUUGUAAACUGCUUUUGUCCAGGAAUAAACCUUUCUACGUGUAGGAAGCUGAAUGUACUGGAAGAAUAAGGAUCGGCUAACUCCGUGCCAGCAGCCGCGGUAAUACGGAGGAUCCGAGCGUUAUCCGGAUUUAUUGGGUUUAAAGGGUGCGUAGGCGGCCUAUUAAGUCAGGGGUGAAAUACGGUGGCUCAACCAUCGCAGUGCCUUUGAUACUGAUGGGCUUGAAUCCAUUUGAAGUGGGCGGAAUAAGACAAGUAGCGGUGAAAUGCAUAGAUAUGUCUUAGAACUCCGAUUGCGAAGGCAGCUCACUAAGCUGGUAUUGACGCUGAUGCACGAAAGCGUGGGGAUCGAACAGGAUUAGAUACCCUGGUA
rnacentral:rRNA from 1 species